CCAUUUGCCCACUUUUAAAAUUGAAUUGUUGCUGCUUUUAAGUGUUGUGAGUUCCUUAUAUCCUCUGAAUUCCCUUCAGCGGGUGAAUAGCUGGCCCUCGUUCUCCAUUGUUGAGUGUUUCCUUUGCUAUGCAGAUGCUUCUGGGUUUGAUGUCAUUCCAUUUGUCAAUUUUUUGUUCAUUUGUUUCCUGUGCUUUGGGGACAGUCAUAUCUGAAAAGGUGUUGCCUGUUCCAACAUUUCCCUUAUGUUUUCUUCCAAGUGUCUUCAGGUCUUACAUGCAGGUCUCCAGUCCAUUUUGAGUUCAGUUUUGUACAGGAUGAGAAAUCCACAGCACCAUCAAUUGGUGAGGUUUCACUAAUGUGCGUUCCUGGCACCUUUGUGGGGAAGCUGCUAAUAGGAGACAUCUGGGUUUAUUACUGGGGCUUCUAAUCUGUUCUUUCUCUGUCCUUUUUUAAUUUUCUCCUGGUACCAUGUUGUUUUGGUUACAAUUCCAGCCUUACCAAUUCUUUUGCGACAGACCUGAGAAGCCGGAAACCAGUUGGUGAACUUGGAAUAGAGUUACAAAAAACCAUAAGACUAGAAUACGAGUUUCUUGAACAAAGGGUCUUGGUUUCCCUUGUUGAGGAAUGUAUCCCAAGGGCCCCAAAUAGACACUUCAAUGUAUAUUUGUUUCAGAACAUUUUACAUGGCUUUGAGAAGCGGUCUGACCCUCCCCGCCUCAGAUGAGCAGUUUGUGCGUCUUCUCCCUAUGAUGUGGUAAUGGUGGCAAACUAUGAUCACCUCUCACUCUGUGUUAGAGCCAGGCUGAUUGCACCUAACCUUCUGCCUUGAUUGGAUGCUUCUGGUCCCUUGUUUUGGUCUAUCUCUCAGUACAAGAUGUCUUAGGUGUUCAAGGCUCUAUAGUCUGUGUUGGAACAACUCGAACCUGCCGAAGCUUGAGAGCAGCCAAUCACAGGAGCAAGCAGAUGCAUACUCUGAUGUUUCCAAACCAAGCCGUGCUGAGAACUGGGUGUAGGCCUAGAUUUGUUUCAAAAUCUAGUUUAAUAAGUGUUCUUAAACGCUUUAACCUCCCUUCUAGCCCACCACCCAGCAGAGGAAAGUAGAAACUUCCACUUCAGCUGGGGGCAGGCUGUAGUUUGCUUCCUUCUAGUUCACCCACAGGGCUGGCUUCUCAGGCACUUUCUCUCCCCAGUGCCCCUUUCAAGACUAUUUGUGGAGCGUAUACAUAUAUAUCUUUUCCUCACUUCAUUUCCAUAAAGUUAAGUCUCAUAGUACCGACAGCGCCAGUCUCCAGGCCUGGGCUCUACCUACUUGGAGUCUGUGUUUCUUUUGGUCCUGGAGAACUUUCUGUCUUCACAUGUCUCUCAAUCUUGCCUCGUUGUAUAUCUGAGGAAAAAUAAACGUUACCUCACCCCUGACCUUCUCCAGGAAGUACCUUUGUUACGGUGGAAGGAGAGAAGCCAGUGGCUGUGUGAGGGGAAAAGAGCAUGCCCCACCCCCUUUCACUGUACUUAUGGAGAUCCUAAUCUCAGAACCCAGAGCCUAGAGAACUUUGUUUUCUUUGACCUGCUCCACUAAAUCUGCUGUGCAUAGACUCAGCAGAUGACUGUGAAUGUGGGAUCCACCCUCGCACCCAAGCUGAGGGUAACAAGACUGAGACUUGAAAGGCUGAAGAGUGGCAGGAGUCAUUUCUGCUGUCAAAGAACCUGCAGCUGAUGGCUUGGGCCAUUGCCUUUCUUUAUACAGAUAUAAAAAUCCAACUCCAGCCCAUGCUUCAGGAGUCCCCCAGACUCAUCCUUCCUUCCAUGGUCCAGGGCGAGUAGGAGUGGAGGGCACACAUCUCCUGGGGGAAUCUGGCUUGCUCCAGUGGUGUGAGUCGUUUACUGGCCUGCCAAGUUUGAUGGGAAAGCUUAGAGACUGUUUCCACGUGCAAGUUUACAACACAAAGGAUUAGUUGCAGUGGUGGGAGGCCUUAUGGCCAGAUCCUGCCUUGAGUGGCCAAGAGGAUGCAGCUCCCUCACCUGCUUCAUUAUAAACCAGCACAGGAAUCUCAGGAGGCUCCUGGAGGCCAGCACACGAGCAACAGAAGCUGAAUAGCCACUGGCGCAGAGCUAUAGAUGCCCAAGGACUCUUUUCUGCUAUGGCCACAGAAGUGGGCUCUGAAAACAGGAAACCGGGCUCCUGAGUGUUGACUUGGAGAUAGAGCAGAGGGGAGAUGAAGACACCGGAGGCCAACUAGAAACAGCCAUUGGGAAGCCUCAGAGGGAAAGGGAUGGUGGUGGGGAAGAUGGGCAGGGUGUGAAGUCCAGAGAAAGGAAAAGGCAGAGAAAAGGCAGCCCCUUGGUGGUGGGGUCUGUAGCAACCAAUCCUGGGUCAUAGCGAGGGAAGGCCAAAUCCAAGAUGUCUGAGGUGCUUCUGGGAAAAGAUGUAUGGUGAUAGUAUAUGUCUAUGUAAGAAUAGAAUCCUGUCUGUACAGGCAUGUGCACACACACACACACACACACACACACACACACACACACACACACAGCCCUGUAUCAGCAAUCAUUGCAUUCCAGUCACCCAAAUCCAGCCCACUUUGCAAAAUGCGUUCUCAUGACUUGCCUGCACAUUCUUCUCCACUGAACCCUGCUCAUUUCUAUAUGCUUCCUGCAGCUGAGACUCUUUCUUCCCCGCUCUCUUUUAAAGCAACUGUACAAACACCUGCAUUUUAUUAAUGCUGCCUGGAGCCGGGGCUGGGCUGGGCCCCCUCUGCUCUCACCCCCACACCAUGCUCAGUGAAGCAAAACGCAAGGGUUAACCCUGUGUGGCUGGGUUUCUGUCCCCGAGAAGUGAAUCCCCAAGAGUUCAGAAAAAAACGUCAAAACUAUGAAAGAGUGAGAGUCCACAGAAGUUAUUUAGGCUUUCUGUUAGCCCAGGAACCCCAUUUCCCUUGUCUUAGCUUUUGGCCUAUUUCUCUGAUCAUUGUGCCCCGUGUCUCUUGACAGAAGACAGGGACAUCAUCCUUUCUUGAAAUUCAGGCAUCCUCUUUAGAGACAGUUCUCCAGCCUGGCCCUUUAACGGUCUACUGCAUUGUUCUGUCUUUAGAGGCCAAAUGGGACUAAACAAUCCCAGAAAGAAAAAAAAAAAAAGAAAAAGAAAAGCUGCUUUCCUCUUUAAAAUAUUUUUAAGUAAGGAAAGCAUGAAGAAUAUAAAAAUGUUCCAUAAUCCUAUUACCCAGAUAUGCUGGUAGGGACUAACAUUUCUUUCAAUUCAGUACAGGCAUCUCUUUUUUAAAAGAAGCAAAGGGGACAGGACAGGUGACCCAGUGGGCAGCAAUCAUGAGGACUUCAGUUCAGAGCCACACACAGCAUCUGAGUGUGAUGGUAUAUGCUGGCAACCCUAGCAUUAAGGAGGGGAGACAGUCAGACCAGAGUGGGGUCCCUAGCCAACCAGUUUAGCAGAAACAGCAGGCUCCACGGUCAGUGAGAAAAACCCAUCCCAAGAAAUAAGGUAGAGAGAGACUGAGGGAGACAUUUCAACAUCAACCCGUGGCUUCCACAUGUACCCAUAUGGGCAAGUGUGUUUGCAUUCAUAUGUGCACCAUCCCCCAGCUCUUGUGCAUGUGUGUGUAUGCACACACAUGUACACACACCCCCACCCCCAUCAUUAAAGGUAGUUUAUGAAUUCUGUUCAGUGUGUCAUUCUCCCCAGCAUAGAUCCCCUCCCCUCUGUUUUUUGAGACAAGGUCUCUCUAUUAUGUAACUCUGACUGUCAUGAAACUCACUGUGUAGACCCAGCUGGCCUUGAACCCACAGAGAUCUGCCUAUGCCUCCUGAGUGCUAGGAUUAAAGGCACGUGCCACUAGGCCCAGCACAGUUGGGUCUCUUAAAGACAGUGACUGUUUACAGUUUCUUGUAUGUAAUCCCAGAGAAAUGACUUGCUUAUACUUUAAAAACAAGCCCAGAAUCCCUGCCACUUCAGCACGAGACGACUCAGUCAUCUUUUGGAUAGCUUUGGAUGAGUCUCUAGGGUAGUUGUGUCAUCGUUUAUUUAACCAAUGGGCAUAAGGGUAGCUUGUGGUUUGUUAUUUCUUCUUCUUUUUUAUUUUAAAGAUUUAGUUUUAGCCAGACAUGGUGAUACACACCUUUUAUUCCAGAGCUCAGGAGGCUGGGGCAGACGGAUCUCUGUGAGAUCAAGGACAGCCUUGCUUAUGUAACAAGUUCCAAACAAUCAACCAACUAACCAACCAACCAACUAACCAACCAACCAACCAACCAACCAACCAACCAACCAACCAAAACAAUUACCUUUUAAAUGGCUGUACUCUGGACCUCGAUAAGAGUGGUAUGUACUCUUAACUCCUAAGCCUUCUCUCUCGGCUCCACUCCGAUUUCAUCUCUCUGAUACUUGGUUGGACUUAUCUGCUCCUGUAGGCAGCCCAUUCGCUGCUCCACAUCUUCUGCAGUCCUUUUUAUCAAUACCACUGAACUUGGACUUUUUAGGCGUUUGUUCUACAUAUUAAUCAUUUUGAGAUGGUCCCAUGUAUUGCAGGCUGGGCCUCAAACUCACUGUGUAGCUGAGGAAAACAUUGGACUGUUUGUUGAUCCUCUUGUCUCUAACUCAGGACUAUAGUCAUUCACCAUCAUGCCCAGUUUAUGGAGUGCUGGGAAUUGAACUCUCGGCAAACAAUUGUUCACAAGGCAAACACUCUGUCAGCUGAGCUACAUCCCCAACCCCAACUGCUCCAGAUUGUAGAUCUUAAAAAAAAAAUGUUUUUCUUAAGACAGGAUCUCACUUGCUAUAUAGUCUAGCGCUGACCUUGAACUCACAGAUCUACCUGCCUUGGUCUCUGCAGUGCUUGGAUUAAAGGUGUGUGAACGGUAUCAUGUUCAGCCUCCACAUUUGAUCUCGAUGUGAGGAGACUGCCAACUUUUCUUCAUAGGGAGUACUUUUAAAUCUUGUUUUCUUGUGCAGUUUGACUUCUGGGUGUACCACCCCCCCCAGUACUGAAAGCAGAGGAGGAGCUCUGUAUAGUCCUGCUCUUGGCAGCAUUGUUCUGAGUAACUGAGAGGCAGAAACAACCUAAGUGUCUGUCAGCAGAAGGCUGGAUUACUGAAGCAUGAUACACACACACAGGAUGGUAUCCAGCCUUAAAGAGGAGAGAGCAUCACCUUGAGGGGAUACUAAAUGAAAAACAAAACAAAACAAAACAUCAGUCACAAAGGGACAGCAGCACUGGACUGUACUUACAUAAGACUCUCAGAGUGGUCAAAAUCAUCCAGACAAAGGACAAAAUGCUGGUUGCUGGGGCAGGGAAGCUCUGGGGGCACCGGGGAGCAGGGGACGGACUGCAGAGCAUUUUAUGCACACAGUUUCAGUUUGGGAAGACAAAGACAUUCUGGAGAUGGACCGGGGUGAUGGUGUGGAACACACCAUGGAUGUCAUUUAAUGCCACCAAACUGUGUACUUUAAAAUGCUCAAAAUGGCACAUUCUAUGUUGUAUGUAUUUUGCCCCCAAUAAAAUUGUUCUUUUUCUUCUUAUGAGAA